UUGCCUUCAUAAUGAGCUGAUCCGGGGCCUUAACCCUUGGGAGAGUAUAAUCACAGUUUAAUGAUUUGUGUCAGGAUCGGCACUGAGAGCUGAGGGAUUUAGAGAGUUUCUGACAAGGCUGCAGGCCUUACCUGUUACAGAACAUCUGGAUUUAAAGUCAAUAAACCACAACUUGUGUAAGAGCUAUUUACGCCUCUGGUAGUCUCACCCUGUCCAAAUUAUAUUCAUCAGAAAGUAAGUUACCAAAAUUCAAAGUGCAACAACGUUUUGUUUUUUUGGUUAAAUUCUGCAGUGCUAAACUUUUAAUUGUGUACAAUGUGUACAACACCACAAGGAUUGUGAAAUCAUCACAGUACAGACUGCAGUUUCAGAGAAAUAAAUUACUAUUCUGGAAAUGCUCUGUGGCAGCCAAGAGGGCCUUUCAGACAAUAAUGAGGGGAGCUGGAAAGUCAUUGGAUCAUUGUCUUGUUGCAUAACCCAUGUGCUUGAGCUUAAGGUCAAGAACUGAUGGAAAGAUGUUGUCCUUCAGGAUUUUCUGCUAGAAAGAAUUGAUUCCAUCAUUAUUGACAGCAAGUUGCCCAGAUCCUGAAACAGCAAAGUAACCCAAGAUCAUCACACUACCACCACCAUGUUUGAUUGUAUAUGGUAAAUGUUCCUUUUCUAAAAUGCUGUGGUAAUUUUAUACCUGAUGUAACGAGAUGCCCACCUUCCAAAAAGUUCCACUUUUCAAUCAUCGGUAGACAGAAUAUUUCCCCAAAACUCUUGGGUAUUAUUAAGCUCUAUUUUGCAAAUGUGAGACAUUCUGUUCUGUUUGGUCACUAGUGGUUUUUGCCCUUUCCAGACUGACAUCAGUUACUUUUUCAAAUGUAUGUUUGAAUUUUUUAAGGUCAGGGCAUGAUGUGUUACCUUUUGAGGUGUUUUAGCAUACUUAAUGUAGUCAGGCAGAUUCUAUUUAAGUGAUCUAGUGAUUCUCCAAGUUUUGCCAUAGCCUACCUAAAAGGCCAAUAAGAAUGCACCUGGCCUUUGGUCAGUUACAGUAAUUUCAUGAUUUAACAGGGACGAUGUGAGGGUGCUGAAAAGCAUCUCCCUCACGAAGUGAAGCAAACACUUAUACACUGGCUGACGGGAAGUACGUUAUAGUUUUGUUAUGCUUUUACUUUGAAGACCACUAACUUCUCUCUCUUUAGGUCCUUCCUGUAGGCAUGAUUCAUGUGCAAACAUAUUGACAUCACCUAGAGGGAAUUCCCUUAAUCAUCCACCUCACUGGGGCAGACCAUUGGGCUAGAGAAGAAAAUGAUGACUGCGGUUAGAUAUGAGGACAGAGCUUGAAUACGAAAGUCAACUGAACUUGGAUUAACCAGACCUUCAGCGGAAAGACUAAACAGCAGCUACUACUUUUCUCUCUCCACAAUCUACAUUGGAGAGGACAUGCGUGUGAAUCUCUUAAUUUUGCUGGCUGAGGAAAAGACUGCAUCUUCGAAGAAACCUUGGAUCCAAAUCAAAUCCGGUGGCCAUACUCUUGUCAAAGAUAAGACCAGCCGCCUGAAACUGGCUGUCUGAGGAUCUGCAGAAAAGAAUCUAAGCCAAAGUAACUCCAAACAGGGACGGCAUCCAUUUUUACAAAGCGGUUUUCCUUCCACUGCUCUGAAGAAGACAGCAUUUGAAAUCACAGCUCCGCAGGCCUGACAUGUGCGCCAGUCUGAGCAGACAUUCGUCCCAGCCGCUAGAACGACAGCAGCCGCCACAGGUUUUGCUGUUCAUUGGACCUGCUAAAUUCAACGUGCUCUUCUGUUCAUCAGAACAGUUCACAGUUAGAGGUUGUGUCUGGACAGAGAUUAUUUUAAGAUAAAAAGCUAAAUAUCAUUUAUUUCAUUGUGUUUUAAAGUUGUGGCAAACUUUAUUGUAAUGAUUGGUUUAAACCCUAAUGGUCCGGUAACAUGAGUUUUCUCCAUUUUGUCUGUGUUUUCCCUUCAUCUCCUCUCACUAACCCAUCUGAAAAUAUGUCCGCAUAGUCUGUAUAAGCUUGCUAAAUUGUCUCUGUUAUCCCAGCUGCAAAUGUCAAAGCUAAAAGCUUUGAAAAUUGUAACAGUGUAGACACCAUUAGUGCUCCUGUGUUUAUUA